rnacentral:rRNA from 1 species
UACGAAGGGAGCAAGCGUUGUUCGGAAUGAUUGGGCGUAAAGGGUGCGUAGGUGGUUUAUUAAGUGAAGUGUUAAAUGUUUGGGCUCAACCCAAUUCCGCAUUUCAUACUGGUAGACUAGAGGAUAAUAGAGGAAACAGGAAUUUCUAAGGGAGCGGUGAAAUGCUUAGAUCUUAGAAGGAACACCAAAGGCGAAGGCAAGUUUCUGGGUUAUACCUGACACUAAGGCACGAAAGCGUGGGGAGCAAACAGG